rnacentral:rRNA from 1 species
UACAGAGGUCCCAAGCGUUGUUCGGAUUCACUGGGCGUAAAGGGUGCGUAGGUGGUAGGGUAAGUCUGAUGUGAAAUCUCGAAGCUUAACUUCGAAACUGCAUUGGAUACUAUCUUGCUAGAGGAUCGGAGGGGGGACUGGAAUUCUCGGUGUAGCAGUGAAAUGCGUAGAUAUCGAGAGGAACACCAGUGGCGAAGGCGAGUCCCUGGACGACUCCUGACACUGAGGCACGAAAGCUAGGGGAGCAAACAGG